rnacentral:rRNA from 2 species
GACUACCCGCUGAACUUAAGCAUAUCAAUAAGCGGAGGAAAAGAAACUAACAAGGAUUCCCCUAGUAACGGCGAGUGAAGAGGGAAAAGCCCAAAUUUGUAAUCUGGCUCUUUUAUAGGAGUCCGAGUUGUAAUUUUGAGAACUGUUUUCUGUGCUGGACCAUAUACAAGUCUGUUGGAAAACAGCAUCAUUGAGGGUGAUAAUCCCGUAGAUGAUAUGGACUACCAGUGCAAUAUGAUACAGUCUCUAAGAGUCGAGUUGUUUGGGAAUGCAGCUCAAAGUGGGUGGUAAAUUCCAUCUAAGGCUAAAUAUAGGUGAGAGACCGAUAGCAAACAAGUACCGUGAGGGAAAGAUGAAAAGAACUUUGGAAAGAGAGUUAACAGUACGUGAAAUUGUUAAAAGGGAAACAUUUGAAGUUAGACUUGUUAUUAUUGGUUCAGCUCCUCUUUUUUAAUUAGGAGUUUAUUCCAAUGGUUGACAGACCAGCAUCAAUUUUUGAGUGUUAGAUAAGGGUCUUGGAGAAUGUGGCAACUUUGGUUGUGUUAUAGCUCCUGGCUUGAUAUAAUGCUUAAGAUUGAGGAACGCAGUGAGCUUUAUUUUUUGAAGUGGAUUCUUUUGA